UACAGAGGUCUCAAGCGUUGUUCGGAUUCAUUGGGCGUAAAGGGUGCGUAGGUGGCGAGGUAAGUCGGGUGUGAAAUCCUGGGGCUCAACCCCCAGAACUGCAUUCGAUACUGCUUUGCUCGAGUACUGGAGAGGAGAUUGGAAUUUAUGGUGUAGCAGUGAAAUGCGUAGAUAUCAUAAGGAAGACCAGUGGCGAAGGCGGAUCUCUGGACAGUUACUGACACUGAGGCACGAAGGCCAGGGGAGCAAACGGG
rnacentral:rRNA from 1 species